GAUUCCUGGUGCUUACUGGCAGGGAAGAUCUGUACCUGAUCUUUUAAUUGGUCUUCAAUUGUAGGAGAUUGAACUGUAUCCACAUCUCAUCUUCCUUUUCACCCUAUCAGAAUCAAAAUUUCGGGCACAGGAAACCAUCUCCUUCUUGAGAGGGACAGCCUUCACAGCCAAGCUUUGAAAGGAAGAAACAUGUAAAAGAAUUGGGCCAAAUCUAGACAAAACUUCAGAGUAGAAGAUGGGUAGAAUUUUGAGGAAAUUGGGGAAAAUGCACAUCUCUCUUAGCCUUGCUCUCAAUUGUUUCCCUCAUUCCACAGGUAUUUCUUGGAAGCAUAACAAUAUUUAAAGGGACAAUGAUACAGUAGUCCUACAUUCAUGUAACUGAUUCACUGAAAGCUGUACCAGAAAAGAAAUAAGAGGAAGAAAUCUGCAAUGAACCUGGACCCAGUUGGUUUUAUUUUUUGUUUUUAGCUGAAACAAAUAGUUUAUUGGGAGACAACUCAGCUCAUGAAAAUCCUAUUACUACUACAGUAUUUCUUCACCAAGAAACUUUUUUUAUUUUUUCCCCUAUGACAUGGUAACCAUCUGCCAAUCAUAAAUCAGCAAAUACAGAAGCUGCUGGCCUUUCACUAGUAGAUGAAGCAUAUCCACUAAUUGCAAAAGAAAUAAAUUUGGUCAAAGUCCAUCCUGGAUUUAAAAAAUAGCCUUCCUUUAUUCUUUAAAAGGUAAGACGAUCAUUUAAAGAUGACAAUGAAAGGAAGUUAGGUAGCUUUAUGUGUUUACUUUGUAUAGAUAAAAAAAUGAGGCAUGUGCUAUGAUGUCUACUUUGUUAAGUAGUUUUAGAUAGAUCUCCUUGAGCUUCACAUAUCAUGUGAUAAUUAUUACCAAGCAUUUCAUUAGAUAGAAAAAUAAUGUUAAAGUAGUGAGAUUCACAUUCUACUAUAUACAAUCACAGCUGGAGAAACUCAAUAAAUAUGACAAUGCAGAGUUCAAAUUCUAGAAAGUUAUUGGAGGUUUUUGCUUGUUUGUAUUUUAGGGGAAGAAGGGCCAUGGCAGUGGGAAGAUUUUUAAAGAUAUAAAUCAGUAUACUCUCAUUAACUUAUUAUAUUUUCUGUCUUUGGAGAAUAAAGUAAUAUUUAAGAUGAAAUGAAUUAACUAAUGUAACCAAGUUUUGAUUAAUUACAUCUAUCACAUGAUUCCAACAUGCGUUAGAUUUUUCUUCUUCCUGACUACAUGAAUGAACAUAAACACAUGUAACUCAAAGCAAAUUUUUAAAUUCAUUAUGUUUUUGUGGGUGGAGGCAUACCAGAGAUUAAACUCAGGGGCAUUCAACCACUGAGCCACAUCCCCAGCUCUAUUUUGUAUUUUAUUAGAGAUAGGGUCUCACUGAGUUGCUUAGCACCUCACCAUUGCUGGCUUUGAACUUGAGAUCCUCCCGUCUCAGACUCCUGAUCCACUGGGAUUACAGGCAUGCGCCACAACGCUCAGCCCCUAAAUUCAUCAUUUUUGAAUGAAAUUGUUUGGAUAAAAUGACAACUGAAUUCAGGUCAGUUCCCAUCAAUUCAAGGUCAAUUCCCAUCCUAACAUUAAAGACAGCUAGUGAAUCAUCAACUGAAAUCAAAUGAUUAAAAAACAAAUAUUCUGGGCACCGUGGUGCAUGCUGGUAAUCCCAGCAACUCAGGAGGCUAAGGCAAAAGCAUCACAAGUUCGAGGACAGCCUCUGCGACUUCACAAGACCCUCAGCAACUUAGCAAGAGUCUGUCUCAAAAGGUAAAAAAGGCUGGUAGUGUAGCUCAAUGGUAGAGCACCCCUGGUUCAAUCUCCAGUACCAAAAAUAUAAACAAAAAUAAAAACAGUUAUUUAAUCAUAGAAAUGUAAAAUUGUGCUGCAAUUGAAUACAAUGAAUCAAAAUACAUUCUGCUGUCAUAUACCUAAUUAAAAUUUUUAAAAAAGAAAAGAAAACAAUUAUUUAUUGAGAGCCAUUUAAUACAUGUUGAGCUCUUAGUAUUUGGUAUGUCAUUGAAUACAACUGUAUCCUCUAAGGAUUGUACUGAGUUCUCUUAAAGUUUAAUGCAUUAUGCUCUACUGACCACGAGGUUCUUGACACAAUUCACCUACAGAAUUCUACAGUAUAAAUUCUAACACAUUAUUGAAUCUAUUCCAUACAAACAACCUAUUGGCUUGUUCAGUUUUAGAGUUUUUUAAAAAAUAUAACUGAUCAGUUACUUUAACCAGACUCAUCAUUAUGGUUGCAAGUAUAAAACAAUUAAGAGUCCCAAAAUUCAAAUUGCUAACACCAAGUACCAAGCUUCUUUAUUUUUUAACGGCAUUUGUAGAAAAUACUCCAAUUGAUCAGACCCUAACUUGUGAAAGCUUUUCUUUUAAAGUGCAUUAUUCUAAUUAGUAUGGAAACAACCCUAAUGUACACAUCACCCCACCACCUCCACCUGAAAAGCACAAACUACCUAGUUUAAACUAACAGUGGCUUUUGGUCCGUUGCUGCUCACUGACUGUAGCAGCAUCAUCCCCUGGGAGCUUGUUAGACUAGAGCAUCUCUGUCCCUUCCAGGCCUACUCAAUCAGCACCUCCAGAUGAACAAGAUCACCAGGUGACUUGUAUGCACAUUAAAUUGAAAAGCACUGUUUUGAAAAUCAACUAUGUCACCAGAAUUUAUUAGGCACAUCUGAAAUGUUAAGAAUCUGAAACCAAAGAUUAGUUUUGAAAUAACCUUGAGUGGAGAUAUUUGAAAAACACUUUGCUAAUUCCCAAACAGCCUUCUUAUAAAACUUUUCUUUUAGAAUUAAUUCAUGACAGACAACAACCAGAAGACAUAGAUGUAGAGUAAACCAUAAAUCAAGAGCCUAUGACCAGCUGGGUGUGGCAGUGCAUGCCUGCAAUCCCAGUGACUCAGUAGGCUGAGGCAGGAGGAUUGAGAGUUUAUGGUCAACUCACCAAAUUAGCAAGGCCCUAAGCAAUGUAGCAAGAUUCUAUCUGGAAAUGAAAAGAGCUAGGGAUACAGCUCAUUGGUGAAGUACCACUGGGUUCAAUUCCUAGUGCAAAAAAAAAAAAAAAAAAGCCAUGAGCAGAGAGAAAUGCCAGAAAACUGGUGGUAAAUCAUUACUAUGACUUUUCUGAAGUAAUCACAAAGUCUUUCUGGGGGCUGGUGCUGGGGAUUGAACUCAGUCACUCAAAUACUGAGCCAUAUCCCCAGCCCUAUUUUAUAUUUUAUUUAGAGACAGGGUCUCACCGAGUUGCUUAGCACCUUGCUUUUGCUGUGGCUGGCUUUGAACUCAUGAUCCUCCUGCCUCAGCCUCCUGAGCCACUGGGAUUACAGGUGUUACCACUGUGCUCAGCCUCACAAAGCAUUUUUAAGGAAGUAUGCAAAAGCAAGUAAGGGAUAUUCUUGGGGACUGGAUCAUUUAUUAUCUAGUAUCCAGAAUGCCAGAUGAAAAGUCAGGUAACUUAGAAUAAAAUCUGUAGAUUUCACUUUCUUGAACUGCAAAACUUUAAAGGUAGGUAUGAUAGCUGCUUUCUCCUUGAUAAAGCAGAAAAGCAAAUAGAUUGCCUCCUCAGACUAUAUUGACCUCUCAAAGAGGCACAAUGAAGCCACAAUGAUGUGUAGAUACAGUAUUUUCUCCAAAACUUUUUCUUCUGUCAAAUUUCAAUUUUAUAACCAUAAAGGAUCCUUUGGUUCAAAAAUUCCCUUGAAGUUGGUCAUGCAUAGUAGUCUUCCCACAACACAUCUAGAGUUCUUGACUCCUACAACAAGAAGGCCUAAAAAGUGGUGCAGUACCAAAAAAUGGAAAAUUAUGAUUUAAGUGCUCACGUGCAUCUCCCCUCACACAAGCCAAAGAGAACCACAGCUGCUCCUGUGAGAUUCACAUCGAUGCAGGAUAAUGACAUAACUAGACCCUCCAAAAAGAGACCAUCUAGGAAUUUCUGAUCCUCAUGAAUCCACAACCAAGAAUUAAGAGUUGAUGGAUUGACAGCUUAUGGAACAUGUAGAUUUUUCCCAUCUUAUUUACCAGUUGGUAAGUUCCACCUUCACCACCAAAGUGAACAGAAAUUAAACAUUUUAAUGAUUAUUUUCAUUAGCUUUUUUUUUUUCCAAAGGAAGCUACACUAUUACCUGAAACAGUGAUUUAGUACAUCCUUAUUUUCCAUUAUCAUAGGUGGCAGAGUUAAUUGAACAGAGCAAUUAGCCACCCAUAGUGAUUAAUUAAAAUGAUUUGAAGCCAACACCGCCAACUCAUGUUUGGCUUGGGGCCAUGACAUGGCUCACCUUGUUUGGGUCCAUUAUAGGAUAUCUUGAGCUAACAAAAAUAUAUGGGUCUUCAAAACCAGAACGCAAACAACAAACAGAACUCUUCAAAUGUUCUCUCCAAAGUAAAAAUGACCAAAGCUGUGUCAUUCCACAUUCAGUAUCAAACAGGCCGCAUAGCCGGACAAUCUCAAGGCAGUAGAGACAUGGAGCAGAACUGGUCAUACUGCUCCCCCGCUAGGAAGAGAGAGAGAUCUCUGCACACAAAGGCUGAUGCUCACCAUGUACACACGUGAUAUAUCACGUCAGAGGUCGCCACAGAGGCCCAAAGCCAAUGACAAACAGCUUCUACCAGCCCCAAUUAAGCCCAAGCCACCCCCGAACUGCUUUAAAUGAGGAACAGUCAAAUCUCUCUAUCUCUUGCAGGGGCGGAGAAUCUUGCCCCUUCACUGAAUCAGCAGCCACUGAGAAGCACUUACGAGAAGCACCUGUGGGCCCAUCCCUCCAGCUGAAGGCCUGAGACCCAUGAUGGCUGGAGCAUCAUCCUUGCUAAUCAAUGCUGAAGUGCAGUUGCUUGCCUCACUCAUCCUGAAGUCCACGCCGAAUGGUAGUCACUGUGCAAAGCAGUCAUGGUCUGCCUCUGGGGACUGAGGAGCGGGUCUACACAGAUGGGAAGGAGCCCCCACUCUUCCCUGUCCACCACCGGCUGCAGUGAACGUGCCUCUCCCCUUACUCCUCAUGGGGUCUACCUUUGCAGCUAGGCUUCCUCACACACCGGCCAUGGUCCUUCUCUCUCAAGGUUUGGUUUUGACUUUCACUUCAUUUUUCCUCCAGCACUAGGGUCCCUUGAAAAAUAUGAAAAACUGAUGGAGAGGGGGAAAUGCAAUACUUCUCAGCAUCUUUCCUAAUUUCAGGCUGAGGACAAGUACAGCCUGAAAUUAGGAAAUUAGAUCUACACAAGACAAGUCAGGUCAUCAGUUUAAAUUUCUCUGGCAACUUUCUGCCGAAAAAUUCCUAUAUACACCAGCAAUGUAGAAAAGGCAAGGGGAGAAGUUUAAGGGGUGGUGUCAGAGGAAAGAGAGGGAGGCUGAGAGGGGAAAGGGGAUGGCAGACCUUCAAUUCUGAAUGACAGUCUCAGCUCGCCCCUUCAGAAAACACUCUCAAAAAUCCUGCCAGAUCACGGCCAGCCUGAACUCACCUUUGGUGUAUUUUCCCCUCUGUUAAGUCACUCUUCUGGGUCCAGAUUGGCUCCUUGUUGACCCAAAUUCAAAAGCUGUAAAAUGAACGAAGGAAAGAUGAAUGAUACCUUGCAGAAAUGGUGUCACAGAAGACCAGAGUGUCACUAGCGUCGUAAAUAAUGAAGGACUAAUAAAUAAUACAAAGGAAAGAAAAGCCUCGCCUUAUUGUCACUUCACGUUUUCCUGACAUUUUGUAUCCAUAGUGCCAAACACAAAUGGGAUAAAUGUUUACUGAAUGGUGUUUAGCUCUGGCCUAAAUAGAGAGGAAAGUAUCCUAAACACCUGCUCAUGCACGUUUUUUCAAUUCUUUAUUUUCUUCAACUUUUAUGUUAUGC
rnacentral:lncRNA from 1 species